rnacentral:lncRNA from 1 species
UUAGAAAAUCUGUUAAUAGUUAGUAGUUCAGUUAGCUUUAAAACUGGUGCUAGGAAGGAGUUGGAUUUAUGUUAAUUAGUUAACAGUUAGUGAAUGCAAGUGAAUCUUGCAGUCAGUUUAGUUGGAAUGUUAUGUUAGAAAUGGCCUGUUGGUGAAACCUGUUAUUCAACUUGUCAAUUAAUCUCGAAAUUCUCGCUGAUAGUAGACAUUUGUUAUGUUGUUA